GCAAGUGGGCAGCCAUCUGCCUAGCAGAGCACAGCAGUGUGUCUCUGGAUGGGCCAACGAAGGCUGAGUGCCAAGUAGGGAGUAGAGAGAUAAAUCUCUCUGCAAAUCAAGUCAGGGGACUCUUGAUGUCGGAGGGCAUGGAGAGAGAGGGUGCCGGGCUGUAGAAAGGAGGCUGGAUCCUUUGGAGAAAGGAGGAGCAGCCACUAAUUGGGACAAGCCUACCUUGUGGCAGGGGAACAAGAGAGAUGGCAGAAAUACACGAUGGAGCAAAAGCAAUGGAAAGCCAUUGGAGGUUUUCGAAGCUAAUUGAAGAAUGGAUUAGAGAGAAGCUGAAGACGUUUAUGAGGCUACUUGAAGAGUCCAGGCAGGAGAUACUAAAGGGAGAACCAGGACACUGACAAGCAUCAUGGACAGGACAGAACCUAUACAGCCGAUCUGCAAAGGAAAUCAACAAAGCUUGAAAACUGAUUGGUUUGGGGAAUAAAGGAGGGAGAGAGAGAGAGAAAAGUUGCAGAUGAUUGGACUGUGGUGGUAUCAUUAAUGUAAUCAGAAAAAUAAGAAAGAGAAGUGACUUGUAGAAUGGUAAAAUAAAGUUUUAUUUUGUGGUGUUGAGUUUGAGGAAUUUCAGAUAGAAAUGUUUAGUAGGCCUAUGGAUCUAUGGGAAGAGAGUUUAGGGUCGUGAGUGUAACUGAAUAUGUAGACCUGUGAGACCUAAACAGGUGACAGUUGAAGCCAUGGAUGCAGAUGAGAAUAUCAAAGGGGAAUGGUGGCUGAAAGGCAGAGGCCUGGGGACUCUCCACAUGCAGGGUGUGGCAAGAUGAAGAUAAGCCUGGAGGGACACUGGGGAGCAUUGACAAGGAGGAGAGGAGAGGAGAACAGAACAAUGUAGGAUCAACUAAGCUGAGGCAGAUGAGAACCUGAGCAGGAGGGAGAGUUCAACAUGGUCAAAUACUUUAGAGAGCACCAGGUGGGUGAGAACGUAGAAAGCUAUAUGGAACUUGGAAGAGGAGAUCGUUGGUCACGGGUAAGGAAACAACUUCAGUAAAGAAUGGAGUUGUUCUUUUGAGAUAAUUGAUAACGAAAAGUAUAGAGAUUGAAUGAUGGAGGGGUAGUUGGAAGGGGUGGAAUCAAGAGCACAGGGAGUGAGCUAACCUCGAGGAGGGCAGGAGAAUACGCACUAAGAGAGAAAUCGUCAGUGGUAAGGAAUGACCUUAAGUUAGCCCUCACCGGGGUAGAGAAAAGAAAUAGGCUCAUUCGUUGAAAUUAAAAAAUAAUUAUGUGUUAAUGAAAAAUCAGAUUAGAUUUUUUUAAAACCAUGUAGAUAAAACUAAUCAAGGGAAGCUAAAGGGACCUUCCAAGUGACUAUAUUGUACUCAUUUUCCUGUAUUCAAUGUUCAGCACAGGGCCUGCUAUAUAUUCAUGUGCAAUAAAUAGUUAUUGGGGAAUAUAUAACUGGGCUUCAGGACUGAUAAUUUUAGGAAAAUGUUUUUGUGAUCUGGAGCUUAUUAAUUGGUCUAAGUGUCCUUUCAGUGGGAGAAGGGCAUUUGAGGCCUUUUAUGAGGGCAUAUAAGAGACUUUUUCUUCCUACCAGUUUGAGAUUGCUGGUAUCCCUUCAAAGUGGCUAAGCCAUUUGCAACCCACAAAACUCUGGGGGAAAUAAAACCCAACCAGAGAACAAUUAUGUUAAGCUAGGUUGCUAUCAAGAGCGUCUUCGAGCAGGAAGAACUAGUGAACUUAGCAAAAGGGAUGUUUAAUAAUAUUUAUUCUUUCAUUCAUGCUCACUCAAAACUCCACCUAUUUACUGAGCACCUUGCAAUGUGCCAGGUACUAUUCUAAGGCUGGGAUAGAACCUCUCCACUCAUCUAGAUUACACUGCUAUGAACAAAUAACCAUAUUAUAUGACGUCAUGUAAUGAUAAGCGCUACCAAGAAAAAAUAAAGCAGGUUAAAGAGAUAAAAAUUAAUUGGGGCGGAGUGUGUGAAUGGGACUGUUAUUUCCUUGGAAGACCUUGGGAGAUCUCUGAUGAGAAAACAGAGAUCUGAACAGAGAUCUGAAAGAUCUAGAGAAGCAUGUUUCAGGCAGAGAGAACAGCCAAUGCUAAGAUUAUUCAUUCUUGAGACAGGAGUGAACUUGGCACGUUUUAGGAAGACCAAGAAGGUCAGUGUUGCAGGAGUAAAAGGAGCAGGUGAAGAGUGGCAGGUAUGAUGUUGGAAAGAGAGGCCAGAUCGUGUGAGAUCGUGAAGGCUUUUAUUCUCAGUGUGAUUGGGAAAUCAUUGGGUGGGUUUUGAGCAAGAAAGUAACAUGUUAGGGAUUAUGUUUUUAGAGGAUUGCUCUGAACUCUGAUCUCUGAACGGAGAUCAUAAGAGGGCAAGGCCUGAAGUAAGGAGACCAGUUAGGAAGUUGCUGCAGUAAUCCAGGAAGAGAAGGUGGAGAUCAGAACAAGGAUGACAGCAGUGGUGAUGAAGAGAGGUGGAAAGAUUCUAGACAUAUUUUAAAUAACUUUAUUGUGAUAUAUUGAGAUAUAAUUCACAUACCAUAAAAUUUUGUUUAAUUGUACCUAUUAGAAGUGUCCAGUUCAGUAGUUCUAGAGAUAGAUAUGAUAGGACUUGAUAAUGGAGUGGAUUCAAAGUGUGAAGGAAAGAGAGGCAUCAGGGAUGUCCCUUGGAUUAGAAAUUAAGCAACUGGAUAGACAGUGUUGACAUUUGCUGAGAUGUAGAGAACUGGGGAGAAGAAAAGUACCUAUGUCAUUGGGCUAGGAGGUGACCUACAAGCACACAGAAAAAUGCCUAGUAUUUCAUAAAUUUAAAAUAUGUUUGGCUAGUCUUUUUCUUACAUGACAUUUCUUCUCUAUUUUUGGACACAAAGAACAAGUCAAGGUCCGGUUACUGAAAUCAGGAUAUAGAGUCCGAGAGUUUAAGCAGGAGACUGAUUUGCUGUUCAGAAGCCAACUGUGGAUCUAGGAAGUUUUAUAUAUCUACUUUCAGGGCUUGGAGUAGUCUCUUGGUUAUGGCAUAGGAUUAAUUUCUCCUAGAAGCCAGAUAACAAAUUAUCUUGUAGGAUAUUUUCUUUAGGAAGCCAGAGAACAAAUGAUCAUGUUGGAUAUUUUUAGUGGGCCAUAGCAGGGCUUCCGUUAUUAUCCUCUAAUGGAGAAAGAAUAAAAGCAUAUAUCAGAUGGUGUUAUCCUUGUUGCCCAAUAAAUCAUUGAUAUGUAAAAUUUGGUGAUCUCCACUGGGAUUCCCCAGCAUUAAUUCUACAAGCCUGACUUCGUGAUGUGCCAAUAGCUUUUGUGUAUUGUGUGUUUUUAUACAGUAAAUUUGUAAACAAGCUUUAAGAUCUAUAUAUACAUACAAAUGUAUAUAAGACUUAGGCUUAACUGCAAUAAUUCACAUUCAUUACUAAAAUUAUGGAUAAAACAAUUGGAGAAAGGCCAACUAAGUUGAAUGUGGAGAGGGAAAUCGAGAGAUAAAAUUAUUUAAUGGAAAGUGCUUGCUUUAGAUUCUUGCUUUAUGCUGAACCUUGGGACUCAUUUGUUUCAGUUAUCUACUGCUGUGUAACCAACCACACCGAUGCUUAGUGACUUAAGACAACAACUUAUUAUCACCUCUUCUAGUUUUGUGAGUUGAAUGAGCUUGUCUGGGCAGACUUCACUUGGGGUCUUUCCUGCAGUUGCAGUCAUAGAGCUGCUGAGGUUGGAGCCACCAAAGGCUCAACUGAGCUGUGUCCCAGAUGGCUUCUUAAUCACAUGUCUGGCAUUUUUCUGCUCCUUUGAGUGGUCUUUCUUUCUAUCAAAGUAACUUAGACUUCUGACAUGGCAGCUCAGGGCUCCAAGAGGCAGGAAGUGGAAACUUACAGUCCUCACAAAGGCCAGACCUGAAACUGACACAAUAUCAUUGCCACCAUAUUCUGUUGGUUGAAGCAGUCAGAGAUCAGAUCAGGAAGAGACUCCAUCUUUAGAUGGAGGUGUGACAUGCAUACAGAAUGAGGGAAAGAAUUGAUGACAGCUAUUUGGUAGACAAGCUACAUUCAAUCAGCUUAUAACCAUUCAUUCACACAGGAAUUGCCAACCCUUUUACAAAAGACUAUUUUUUUAAAAAAUUAAUCCUCUGAUUAAUUAGAUCAGGAAAUAAAUCUAAACUAAAUGUCAGGUUACUAGCACUACAUUAAGUCUAUUCUAUAGUUAGCAAAUCAGAGAUUUCCAGUUGUACUUUUCAAAACUUAUCCAACAAUAGAAAAUGAUUUUGACACAGAGAUAUUAUCAAAUCAUUAGGUGCUAUUCUUCAAAAAAUAGAUAAGCAGAUUUGGAAUCUCUUGCAACUCUUUGUUGGUUUUCAGGAUCAACCAUUUGAAUGUUCUUUGAUUUUGUUUUAAAGCCUAGAUCUAUAGGCCAGUGGAAAGAAUAAUUUCCAGAAUCAUCCUGGUCAUAACUCUUGGUCAAUGUGAUGUAUUCAAUUUAACUGUACAGAGAUUUAGUAGAUAUGAACUAUCAUAUGUGCCUGGGUCAACCACGUCCUAUGUAUCAGAGCUAGAGUGGGGUUACACAAGAGUGGGAAAUCAAACAAGGAGGUACCAGUUUGAGGUGGAACGAGUUCAGAACUGACCAGGAGUUGAAAUGAGAUUUGGUAGGAAUCUGCAAGAGUUGGCAGGUACAAAAUCAGGAGCCAACCAGGAGUACUGCAGGAGUUUCUGGAAAAGUGAGAAGAGCAGGCAGCUUAAGCAGGACAAGAUUCAACAGAAGAACUGAGCAGCAACCCAAGAGAAACUCCGUCCCCACGGUAGCAGCUAAACAGCAAUAUAGAAGCAGAUAAGUAAAUUAUUAACAAGCUGCUUUAAAUAAUUAAGAAGACAGAGAUAGGGCAAGGCUAAAAGUGCAGGAAGUAGCAACUGAGAAAAUAUACUCAUAAGUUGGACCAAUAAUUAUUUAAGACAGGAAAGCUUUUUAAAUUCAGCUGCUCAACCCCUUCCAGGCAUCCUUAAAGAAAUUUCCCUCAGACUGGACAAGAAUCUGUAAAAUCUCUAACACCCGUAGGUUAAGGAAUUCCCCAUUCUUGUUGUUAUGAGGAGUUAUUUCACUCACCUCCUGUAAUUAUAAAUUUUCAGUUAACCCAUGUAAAAUGUUUCCAGAGUGUUUGGCACGUGGCACCCAAUCAAUGUUGGUUCCUUUCCUACUUUCUUUUAGUGGCACGGUACACAAAAGACCACUUAGCCAGAAGCAACUCCUGGCCCCAUCUCAUGAAGG